AUUGAACGCUGGCGGCAUGCCUUACACAUGCAAGUCGAACGGCAGCACGGGAGCAAUCCUGGUGGCGAGUGGCGAACGGGUGAGUAAAGUAUCGGAACGUGCCCAGUCGUGGGGGAUAACGUAGCGAAAGUUACGCUAAUACCGCACACGAUCUAUGGAUGAAAGCGGGGGAUCGCAAGACCUCGCGCGAUUGGAGCGGCCGAUAUCAGAUUAGGUAGUUGGUGGGGUAAAGGCUCACCAAGCCGACGAUCUGUAGCUGGUCUGAGAGGACGACCAGCCACACUGGGACUGAGACACGGCCCAGACUCCUACGGGAGGCAGCAGUGGGGAAUUUUGGACAAUGGACGAAAGCCUGAUCCAGCCAUGCCGCGUGCAGGAUGAAGGCCUUCGGGUUGUAAACUGCUUUUGUACGGAACGAAAAGGUUUGGCCUAAUAAGCUGAGCUCAUGACGGUACCGUAAGAAUAAGCACCGGCUAACUACGUGCCAGCCGCCGCAGUAAAAC
rnacentral:rRNA from 1 species